UACGAAGGGGGCUAGCGUUGCUCGGAAUCACUGGGCGUAAAGGGUGCGUAGGCGGGUCUUUAAGUCAGGGGUGAAAUCCUGGAGCUCAACUCCAGAACUGCCUUUGAUACUGAGGAUCUUGAGUACGGGAGAGGUGAGUGGAACUGCGAGUGUAGAGGUGAAAUUCGUAGAUAUUCGCAAAGAACACCAGUGGCGAAGGCGGCUCACUGGCCCGUUACUGACGCUGAGGCACGAAAGCGUGGGAGCAAACAGGGAUAGAAACCCUGUAC
rnacentral:rRNA from 1 species